rnacentral:rRNA from 1 species
CGUGUAGGCGGCCAGAAAAGUCCGCUGUGAAAACUCGAGGCUCAACUUCGAGCUGUCGGUGGAAACUUUCUGGCUAGAGUCCGGAAGAGGAGAAUGGAAUUCCUGGUGUAGCGGUGAAAUGCGCAGAUAUCAGGAAGAACACCCGUGGCGAAGGCGGUUCUCUGGGACGGUACUGACGCUGAGACGCGAAAACGUGGGGAGCGGAACG